CUCAGAUUUCUAUGAUCCAUUUCAUGCUGCAUAUAUUCCCCCUGAAGAAGGUGUUACCAGAACUCCAAAGAAUGUAGAUGAAAAUGAUAUUCUAGGGAAAUACCAACUUUUUAAGAAGUUUGAUACUGUUGAAGAUCAUUCAGAUCAUCGCUAUGUUUCUAAAGGUUCUUCAACUAAGCAGCCACCCAAGAAUUGGUCCAAGAGAGUUCAGGAGGAAUGGAAAAUCCUGGAGAAUGAUUUGCCAGAUACUA
rnacentral:misc_RNA from 1 species